AUGUUCUCAGGGAUCAUUUCUAUAGUUUGACACUAGAGAAGUUUCUCUGAUCAUGUAGAGCACCCAAAACCACAAGGAGGAGCCAGAACACCCUCUCCCGAGUGUGAAGCCAGUUCUAGGUGUUGCCUUUUACUAUUGAUGAUGGUUCUUCUCCUCCCUUGGAAGAGGGAGAGGGGAAGAUACAGUCUAAGUGG
rnacentral:snoRNA from 1 species